AGAAUCAACGCUGGCGGCGUGCCUAACACAUGCAAGUCGAACGAGAAAGCGGGGGCAACUCCGUGAGUAAAGUGGCGUACGGGUGAGUAACACGUAGCUAACCUACCCUUGAGUGGGGAAUAACUUCGGGAAACCGAGGCUAAUACCGCAUAACACCUACGGGUCAAAGGAGCAAUUCGCUUAAGGAGGGGGUCGCGGCAGAUUAGUUAGUUGGCGGGGUAAUGGCCCACCAAGACAGUGAUCUGUAU
rnacentral:rRNA from 1 species